GCAGUGGGAGCACCCUUUGGGGUGUGACUGCGUACCUUUUGUAUAAUGGGUCAGCGACUUAUAUUCUGUAGCAAGGUUAACCGAAUAGGGGAGCCGGAGGGAAACCGAGUCUUAACCGGGCGUUAAGUUGCAGGGUAUAGACCCGAAACCCGGUGAUCUAGCCAUGGGCAGGUUGAAGGUUGGGUAACACUAACUGGAGGACCGAACCGACUAAUGUUGAAAAAUUAGCGGAUGACCUGUGGCUGGGGGUGAAAGGCCAAUCAAACCGGGAGAUAGCUGGUUCUCCCCGAAAGCUAUUUAGGUAGCGCCUCGUGAAUUCAUCUCCGGGGGUAGAGCACUGUUUCGGCUAGGGGGCCAUCCCGGCUUACCAACCCGAUGCAAACUGCGAAUACCGGAGAAUGUUAUCACGGGAGACACACGGCGGGUGCUAACGUCCGUCGUGAAGAGGGAAACAACCCAGACCGCCAGCUAAGGUCCCAAAGUCAUGGUUAAGUGGGAAACGAUGUGGGAAGGCCCAGACAGCCAGGAUGUUGGCUUAGAAGCAGCCAUCAUUUAAAGAAAGCGUAAUAGCUCACUGGUCGAGUCGGCCUGCGCGGAAGAUGUAACGGGGCUAAACCAUGCACCGAAGCUGCGGCAGCGACGCUGAUGCGUUGUUGGGUAGGGGAGCG
rnacentral:rRNA from 1 species